CAGCCGCCGCGGUAACACGAAGGGUGCAAGCGUCAAUCGGAAUUACUGGGCGUAAAGCGUGCGUAGGCGGUUUGUUAAGUCUGUUGUGAAAUCCCCGGGCUCAACCUGGGAAUGGCAAUGGAUACUGGCAAGCUAGAGUGUGUCAGAGGAUGGUGGAAUUCCCGGUGUAGCGAUGAAAUGCGUAGAGAUCGGGAGGAACAUCAGUGGCGAAGGCGGCCAUCUGGGACAACACUGACGCUGAGGCACGAAAGCGUGGGGAGCAAACAGGAUUAGAUACCCCAGUAGUCCCUGUCUCUUAUAC
rnacentral:rRNA from 1 species